GUACAGGCUUGGGCCUACUGCAGUCGUGUGGCAACGCGUAGGUAAGAAUGGCAAGGUGAGUGUGUCUCGACACAACAAGAGGCAACACUACGGUUCAUAUAAACCUGGGAUCUUUAUUGAGAGAGAGCUAAAUCAUCACAAUUAUGUUGGAGGAUAAAUACCUGUAAUAUGUAUGGAUAUAAAAUCAGGUAUGCUGUGGCAAGAUAUAAAUGAUGGUAGAGUUGACAAUCGACAAUUGGUUGAGAAAUUCACAGUCUUUAGUCCUGAUCACAAACACUGAAACAGUAACACUCCUGAUGGAAGAUUUCACUACUACUCGAUGGUGCGGUUCUCACAGCACUUCAAUAUACCGUCGGGAUGUCGGAGGUCUUCUCGGGAAGUUUGCGGGGACGACCGAUUUUCUCCGUUAUUUCUUUCUGGCUCCUUCUUGUGUGCGAUCUUUCUCCUCUUCG
rnacentral:lncRNA from 1 species